rnacentral:rRNA from 1 species
UACGUAGGGUGCAAGCGUUUGUCCGGAAUUAUUGGGCGUAAAGAGCUCGUAGGCGGUCUGUCGCGUCUGCUGUGAAAACCGGAGGCUCAACCUCCGGCCUGCAGUGGGUACGGGCAAACUAGAGUGCGGUAGGGGAGAUUGGAAUUCCUGGUGUAGCGGUGGAAUGCGCAGAUAUCAGGAGGAACACCGAUGGCGAAGGCAGAUCUCUGGGCCGUAACUGACGCUGAGGAGCGAAAGCGUGGGGAGCGAACAGG